CUAGGGGCAUGUGGGCCAAUUUUUUUCUCUUCAAUGUUCAGUGAAGAUCUUUCCUAGAGGGCCUCCUUCCCUCACAGCCUGUUCUGUCCAUCUCCCUUCACCCCACCCUCGCCCCUCUUAGUACCCCAUACAGGAGCGCUGCACCCCAACUGAGGAGCACGUGGCGGAAGGAAGAGGAGUGGACCCCUGGCCAUUUGUUUACUAUUUAUCCUCUCAUCGGCAGCUGUACUUUUCUACUCGCUGGAAGAAAGACGCCUAAGCUGAGGUCCAAUUUCUCCAAAAGCUGGAAGCAAAGAGGGCCAGUGAUGAGGGGGCGAGAGAAUGUACCCCAAAGGGGCCUGAAACUCCAAAAACCUCUGCAAGAUCAGGGGUGACUGGGGGUUCAGGACCCCAGCUAAGGGCCCAGGAGACACCCAAGCCUGCCUUAGUUUCCGAAAAUGCUGAAUUGCCUAACCAGUACCAAUAUUUCCAUCUGGGAAUGACAUCAG